CACUUUGCAAAAUUUUCACCUCUCUCUCCCUCUUCUCUCUUUCUCAUAACCGGCCAAGAGCCACCACCAUAGCCACCACACCUUCAAGUUUGGUUCUUGCUAAAUCACACACAUACAAGGGUGCUAGAGUUCGUAUAACGAAGCUUGGUGCUCUCGGAAGUGGAAGGACCUUCUCUAUUCGCUUUUAACCACCACUUUUCUACACUCGUACUCUCCUAGCCUUGUGCUAGUGGACGUGAUUGACCGACCUUGACUGUUAGCUAUAUUUGAGAAUCUAACCGAGCAAACCGAGAUGCUAUGGAGCUUGCAUAUGGAGGUGGUCGUUUAUGAUUGGUGGCUCGAUCCUAGUCACUGUUGCUCUAUCUACUGCUGUUUCCUAAGUACUGCUGAAAGACACAAGCACUGCCCACUCAAAGACUGAUCACCUUUGAAGAAAGCACUGAAGUUCAACAUCAGUGCUCAGGCUACAACAGUGGAACGUGAAGCAGUUGUUAUCUCUUGGUUUGUAUUGUACUAAUAAUCAGAUGUUGCAUAUCAGUAGUUUGUUUAGAACAGUGUAUAUAGGUUGUUAGUUUGUUAGAUGUCACUAUCAUGGUGACGUCGGCUGAGAUGCUUCAGUGGUUUGGUUUGCCUAUAAAUGGAGCAGUACCCUGUACUGUUACAUUUGAUUGACUGAGUAGAUUCUCAGUCCAAUCCUUUCAUCUUGUGCAACCAACCUUGGGGUAUCAGGCUGAGGGGGAGCUUAGUUCUGUAAACAUGUUGUAAUCAUUUGCUUUGUAUUUCAAUCAUUCAACUUAAUGAAAAGCAUGUGUUU
rnacentral:lncRNA from 1 species